AUGGAGAUCCGUCUGGAUCCUGAUCCCGGGAUCCCAAAUCCAGAUCGGGGUCCCCCAUUCCCGGCAGAAUUCCCGGGAUCCCAAAUCCGGAUCGGGAUCCCCCAUUCCCAGCAGAAUUCCCGGGAUCCCAAAUCCCCGGGAAGGGGAGGGAUCCGGGUCAGGGCCCCCAUUCCCGAUCCCGAGAUCCCAAGUCAGGAUCAGAGACCCUAUUCCCAGAAGAAUUCCCAGGAUCCCAAAUCCGGAUUGGGAUCCCCCAUUCCCAGCGGAAUUCCCGGGAUCCCAAAUCCCCAGGAAGGGGAGGGAUCCGGGUCAGGGCCCCCCAUUCCCGAUCCCGAGAUCCCAAAUCGGGAUCAGAGACCCCAUUCCAGAUCCGGGAAUACCAAAUCCAGAUCCAGGACCCCAUUCCCAAUCCCGGGAUCCCAAAUCCGGAUCAGGGUCCCCCAUUCCCAGCAGAAUUCCCAGGAUCCCAAAUCCCCGGGAAGGGCAGGGAUCCGGAUCAGGGCCCCCAUUCCCGAUCCCGAGAUCCCAAUUCCGGAUCAGAGACCCCAUUCCCAGUGGGAUCAUCCCAGUCCCAGGAUCCCAAAUCCCUGGGAAGAGCAGGGAUCCAGAUUGGGGACCCCAUUCCCAAUCCCGGGAUCCCAAAUCCAGAUGGGGGCCCCCAUUCCCGAUCCCGAAUCCCAAAUCCCUGGAAAAAAGAGGGAUCUGGAUCAGGGGUCCCAUUCCCAGUCCCGGGAUCCCAAAUCCCUGGGAAGAGGAGACCCCAUUCCCACUGGGAAUCUGGGCAUGGAGAUCCCUCUGGAUCCCGAUCCCGGGAUCGCAAAUCCGGAUCGGGAUCCCCCAUUCCCAGGAGAAUUCCCGGGAUCCCAAAUCCCCGGGAAGGGCAGGGAUCCGGAUCAGGGCCCCCAUUCCCGAUCCCGAGAUCCCAAUUCCGGAUCAGAGACCCCAUUCCCAGUGGGAUCAUCCCAGUCCCAGGAUCCCAAAUCCCUGGAAAAAAGCGGGAACCAGAUCAAGGGCCCCAUUCCAGAUCCGGGAAUCCCAAAUCCAGAUCCAGGACCCCAUUCCCGAUCCCGAGAUCCCAAAUCCGGAUCAGAGACCCCAUUCCCAGUGGGACUGUCCAAAUUCCAAGAUCCCAAAUCCCUGGAAAAAAAGGGACCCCAUUCCCAGUCCCAGGAUCCUAAAUCCCUGGGAAGAGGAGACCCCAUUCCCACUGGGAAUCUGGGCAUGGAGAUCCCUCUGGAUCCUGAUCCCGGGAUCCCAAAUCCAGAUCGGGGUCCCCCAUUCCCGGCAGAAUUCCCGGGAUCCCAAAUCCGGAUCGGGAUCCCCCAUUCCCAGCGGAAUUCCCGGGAUCCCAAAUCCCCAGGAAGGGCAGGGAUCCGGGUCAGGUCCCCCAUUCCCAAUCCCGAGAUCCCAAUUCCGGAUCAGAGACCCCAUUCCCAGUGGGAUCAUCCCAGUCCCAGGAUCCCAAAUCCCUGGAAAAAAGCGGGAACCAGAUCAAGGGCCCCAUUCCAGAUCCGGGAAUCCCAAAUCCAGAUCCAGGACCCCAUUCCCGAUCCCGAGAUCCCAUAUCCGGAUCAGAGACCCCAUUCCCAGUGGGACUGUCCAAAUUCCAAGAUCCCAAAUCCCUGGAAAAAAAGGGACCCCAUUCCCAGUCCCAGGAUCCUAAAUCCCUGGGAAGAGGAGACCCCAUUCCCACUGGGAAUCUGGGCAUGGAGAUCCCUCUGGAUCCUGAUCCCGGGAUCCCAAAUCCGGAUCAGAGACCCCAUUCCCAGCAGAAUUCCCGGGAUCCCAAAUCCCCGGGAAGGGGAGGGAUCCGCAUCAGGGACCCCAUUCCCGAUCCACGGAUCCCAAAUCCAGAUCCGGGACCCCAUUCCCAGUGGGACUGUCCAAAUUCCAAGAUCCCAAAUCCCUGGAAAGAGAGGGAUCCGGGUCAGGAUCCGCAUCCCCAAUCCUGGGAUCCCAAAUCCAGAUCUGGGACCCAUUCCCAGAUCCAGGAAUCCCAAAUCCCUGGGAAGAGCAGGGAUCCAGAUCAAGGACCCCAUUCCCAAUCCCGGGCUUCCAAAUCCCUGGGAAGAGCAGGGAUCCAGAUUGGGGACCCCAUUCCCGGCAGAAUUCCCAGGAUCCCAAAUCCCUGGGAAAAAAGGGACCCCAUUCCCGAUCCCAGGAUCCAAAAUCCAGAUGGGGGCCCCCAUUCCUGAUCCCGAAUCCCAAAUCCCUGGAAAAAAGAGGGAUCCGGAUCAGGGGCCCCAUUCCCAAUCCCGGGAUCCCAAAUCCAUGGGAAAAAAGGGACCCCAUUCCCACUGGGAAUCUGGGCAUUGA
ensembl:lncRNA